rnacentral:lncRNA from 1 species
AUGCACCACGGCGUUGCUGCCCUUGUCCCGGUCGGUGGCCGUCACCCUCAGCACGGCCGUGUUGGGCUGCACGUCCUCGGGGACCUGCGCCACGUAGCGCUUCUGGCUGAACUGCGGCGCGUUGUCGUUGUCGUCCUCCACCGCGAUGCGCACCGUGGCCGUGGCGCUGCGGGGUCCCGGCUCCUGGCCCUGAUCCGCGGCCUCCACCAACAGCUCGAACGCCUCCACGGCCUCGCGGUCCACGGGGCCGCGGGUGCGGAUGACGCCGGAGCGCGGAUCGAUCUCGAAGACCUCGUUGGCACCGCCGGCGUUCAGCAGCCGGUACAGCACGUUGGCGUUGGGGCCGGCGUCGCCGUCCGUGGCGCGCACCGUCAGCACCUCGUAGCCCACCUCCAGGUUCUCCCGCACGCUCUCACGGUACUCGUGCUGCUCGAAGGCGGGGUCGUGGUCGUUGGCGUCGCUCACCGUCACCGUCAGCGUGGCCAUGGCGCUGCGCCGCGGCGUGCCGUGGUCCACCGCGGUCACGCGGAACACGUGGCUGCUUUUGCUCUCGCGGUCCAGCGGAGCGGCCGUGGUGACGGCGCCGGUGUCGGGGUCGAUGGCGAAGAGCGCGUCGGAGCGGCUGUCGAAGAGCGCGGCCAUGGCGUAGCGCAGCCGGCCCGCCUCGCCCGCGUCGGGGUCGGUCGCCGUCACCUGUGCCACCGCCGUGCCCGCCGGGCGGUUCUCCGGCACCGCCGCCUGGUAGCUGGGGGGCUGGAACUGCGGCGCGGCGUUGGGGCUGCGGCGGCGGCGGCGGCGGGGGAGCAGCGCGCCCGGAGGGCUGCGGGCGGUGCUCCCGGUGCUCCCAGCGCCUGCGGGGAACUGAGAGCUCCCGGUGCCUGCGGCGCGUGCCAUAUGCUCGGCGCUCCCGGUGCCUCCGUGGCUGUAAGCACGGCCACGAGUGCCGGUGCCGCUGCUCUCCCCGGCGCCGCUUGCGCUGCCGGUGUCCGCGGUGCUCGCGGCUCCUCCGUGGCCUCCUGCCCCGCCGCUCUCCCUGCCGUUCCCGGCGCCUCCGCGGCUUCGGGUUCCGCUGCUCCCCCCGGUGCCGCCGGCGCUCAUUGUGCUCCCGGUGCCGUUCGUACCCCCGCCGUCUGCGUCACGCGCGGCGCGCUCGGCGCUCCCGGUGCCUCCGUGGCCUCGUGCACCGCCGCAGGUGCCGGUGCCGCCGCUCUCCCCGCCGCUCCCGGCGCCGCGGGACCCCCCCGCGCUCCCACCGCCGCCGCCGCUGUCCCCGGUGCCGCUGGAAGCGCUGGAGGAGAGCGGGGGCGGCCGCGCUCCGCCGCCGUCCCCGGCGCCGCGGUGCGAGGGCAGAGCUGCGGGCGGGCAGGUGCCGGUGCCGGUAUCGGUGUCGGUGCUGCGGGGCCGUCCCGGCGCGGCCAGCAGCAGCAGUGCCAGCAGAGCCCGCAGCAGCAGCGCGGCCCCGCGGGCGGGCGGAGCGCCCAUGGCGCGGUGCGGCCGCUGCCGCCGAUACCGCUCAGCCCCGCGCCGCCGCCCGCGCGCGCCCGCCGGGGCGGGGCCGACACCGUGCGGGACUGCGCGGCGCUUAAAGGAGCC